CCACAUCCGAGCCUAUGCUGGGUACAGAGGAUGCUGCGUCCGCUCCAAAUGAAUGAAAUCGGGGACAGGCGCUCCUGUCCUGCUGUGAAUCCCAUAGCUGUAAAGUUCAGACCUGGAGACUCUACGUGUGGAAUAUGACCUGGAGAUGACAUCAUAAGGAUUUGGAAGACUGCAGAAAGUGAGACAACCUCAGGGGAGGUUUCAGCCAAAGAAUCGUAGUUUUGCCUCUUGUCUUCCAUUCCUGAGGUGGCAUCCAACAACAGGCUCCAAGCCUCUAAUGUGUAAGAAAAUGAAAAUAAAUAUAUAAGUUUCCUGUGCUCGUCAGCCUCCGAUGUGCUCUCCCUGCUCCGGAAGUAACUUCAGAUCAAGUAUAUAGCAGCACCAAGUAAGCGUUGUAGGUUGAAGAAGCAGCUGGUACUGCUGGGCUCAUGGUAGGCGAAAAGGAAGAAUGAUGGAGCCUCUUGAAACUUCUGCUUGGAAGUCUCCUAUGCCACUGUCACUCACAGUCCCGUAGCCAAAGCAAAUCCGAUGGCCACACCCGGCUGCCUUUGGUGGUGGUGGUGAUGUGUAAUCCUUCCUUGUGGAGAAGCAGAGAAAACGUUCCCAUACUUCUUGUGGAACACAUGAAAUUUAUUAUGGUUCUGGUCUUUCUUCAUGUAGUAGCUUGUCUUGAGUCUUUCAAUGUUAUACAAAUAGACUCUGCCUCCUUUUUAGUCAGCUGCACAGCGUGCCGUGCAAUAUGAACAUAGUUAUUUUAUUAAUAAAGUUU